CGAGGCAGAGCGAACCCCAAAAAGACCGUCCCAGUUCGGAUCGCAGGCUGCAACCCGCCUGCGUGAAGUCGGAAUCGCUAGUAAUCGCGGAUCAGCAUGCCGCGGUGAAUACGUUCCCGGGCCUUGUACACACCGCCCGUCACACCAUGAGAGUCGGGAACACCCGAAGCCCGUAGCCUAACAGCAAUGAGGGCGCGGUCGAAGGUGGGUUCGAUAAUUGGGGUGAAGUCGUAACAAGGUAAC
rnacentral:rRNA from 1 species